CGGGUUUCCAGAGAUGGAUUCCUUCACUUCGGUGACCUGCACGACAGGUGCUGCGUGGCUGUCGUCAGCUCGUGUCGUGAGAUGUUGGGUUAAGUCCCGCAACGAGCGCAACCCUGCCCUUAGUGCCAUCAUUCAGUUGGGCACGUCUAAGGGGACUGCCGGUGAUAAGCCGGAGGAAGGUGGGGAUGAUGUCAAGUCUUCAUGGCCCUUACGGGCUGGGCUACACACGUGCUACAAUGGCGGUGACAGAGGGCAGCCACUCCGCGAGGAGGCGCUAAUCCCGAAAAGCCGUCUCAGUUCGGAUUGCACUCUGCAACUCGAGUGCAUGAAGUCGGAAUCGCUAGUAAUCGCAGAUCAGCAUGCUGCGGUGAAUACGUUCCCGGGCCUUGUACACACCGCCCGUCACACCAUGGGAGUUGGUUCUACCCGAAGCCGGUGCGCCAACCGCAAGGAGGCAGCCGACCACGGUAGGGUCAGCGACUGGGGUGAAGUCGUAACAAGGUAAGCGUAGUGCU
rnacentral:rRNA from 1 species